ensembl:snRNA U6 U6 spliceosomal RNA
GUGCUUGCUUCAGCAACAUAUAUACUAAAAUUGGAACAACACAGAGAUAAUAUGGCUCCUGCACAAAAAUAGCAUGCAAAUUUAAUGAAGUAGCCCUUAUUUUU